rnacentral:rRNA from 1 species
GACGAACGCUGGCGGCGUGCUUAACACAUGCAAGUCGAACGGAAGGGCCCUGCUUUUGUGGGGUGCUCGAGUGGCGAACGGGUGAGUAACACGUGAGUAACCUGCCCUUGACUUUGGGAUAACUUCAGGAAACUGGGGCUAAUACCGGAUAGGAGCUCCUGCUGCAUGGUGGGGGUUGGAAAGUUUCGGCGGUUGGGGAUGGACUCGCGGCUUAUCAGCUUGUUGGUGGGGUAGUGGCUUACUAAGGCUUUGACGGGUAGCCGGCCUGAGAGGGUGACCGGCCACAUUGGGACUGAGAUACGGCCCAGACUCCUACGGGAGGCAGCAGUGGGGAAUAUUGCACAAUGGGCGGAAGCCUGAUGCAGCAACGCCGCGUGCGGGAUGACGGCCUUCGGGUUGUAAACCGCUUUCGCCUGUGACGAAGCGUGAGUGACGGUAAUGGGUAAAGAAGCACCGGCUAACUACGUG